AAGAGCUCGUAGGCGGUUUGUCGCGUCUGUCGUGAAAGUCCGGGGCUUAACCCCGGAUCUGCGGUGGGUACGGGCAGACUAGAGUGCAGUAGGGCAGACUGGAAUUCCUGGUGUAGCGGUGGAAUGCGCAGAUAUCAGGAGGAACACCGAUGGCGAAGGCAGGUCUCUGGGCUGUAACUGACGCUGAGGAGCGAAAGCAUGGGGAGCGAACAGGAUUAGAUACCCUGGUAGUCCAUGCCGUAAACGUUGGGCACUAGGUGUGGGGACCAUUCCACGGUUUCCGCGCCGCAACUAACGCAUUAAGUGCCCCGCCUGGGGAGUACGGCCGCAAGGCUAAAACUCAAAGGAAUUGACGGGGGCCCGCACAAGCGGCGGAGCAUGCGGAUUAAUUCGAUGCAACGCGAAGAACCUUACCAAGGCUUGACAUGUUCUCGAUCGCCGUAGAGAUACGGUUUCCCCUUGGGGGCGGGUUCACAGGUGGUGCAUGGUUGUCGUCAGCUCGUGUCGUGAGAUGUUGGGUUAAGUCCCGCAACGAGCGCAACCCUCGUUCCAUGUUGCCAGCACGUAAUGGUGGGGACUCAUGGGAGACUGCCGGGGUCAACUCGGAGGAAGGUGAGGACGACGUCAAAUCAUCAUGCCCCUUAUGUCUUGGGCUUCACGCAUGCUACAAUGGCCGGUACAAUGGGUUGCGAUACUGUGAGGUGGAGCUAAUCCCAAAAAGCCGGUCUCACUUCGGAUUGGGGUCUGCAACUCAACCCCAUGAAGUCGGAGUCGCUAGUAAUCGCAGAUCAGCAACGCUGCGGUGAAUACGUUCCCGGGCCUUGUACACACCGCCCGUCAAGUCACGAAAGUUGGUAACACCCGAAGCCGGUGGCCUAACCCUUGUGGGGGGAGCCGUC
rnacentral:rRNA from 1 species